UGAUGAUGAUGAUGAUGAUGAUGAUGAUGAUUAGGAUGAUGAUCAUCAUCAUCGUUAUGAUUAUAGUCGUCGUCAUCAUCAUCAUCAUCAUCAUCA
rnacentral:pre_miRNA from 1 species